rnacentral:rRNA from 1 species
UGUAAGCGUAUACCAAAGUUGUUGCAGUUAAAACGCUCGUAGUCGGAAUUUGGCAGUUCCGGAUGUGUGCACGUCGUGUGCGCACUUCGCGGGGAUUGCUUUUGUGGUCUUGCGUAGGAUGAGGCACUUUUAUUAGUGAACGUCCCCACGCAACCACUUUUUACUGUGAGAAAAUCAGAGUGCUCAAAGCAGGCAUUUGCCGUGAAUGUAUUAGCAUGGAAUAAUAGAAUAGGACUUGGUUCUAUUUUGUUGGUUUGUUGGGACUGAGUAAUGAUUAAGAGGGACAGUUGGGGGCAUUUGUAUUUCGGUGCUAGAGGUGAAAUUCUUAGAUUACCGAAAGACAAACUGCUGCGAAAGCGUCUGCCAAGGAUGUUUUCAUUGA